CCUACGGGUGGCAGCAGUGGGGAAUAUUGCACAAUGGGCGAAAGCCUGAUGCAGCAACGCCGCGUGAAGGAAGAAGGGUUUCGGCUUGUAAACUUCUUUUCACAGGGACGAAAGAAAUGACGGUACCUGAAUAAUAAGCCACGGCUAACUACGUGCCAGCAGCCGCGGUAAUACGUAGGGGGCAAGCGUUAUCCGGAUUUACUGGGUGUAAAGGGUGAGUAGGCGGCAUGGUAAGCCAGAUGUGAAAGCCCUGGGCUUAACCCGGAGAUUGCAUUUGAAACUGUCAAGCUUGAGUACAGGAGAGGAAAGCGGAAUUCCUUGUGUAGCGGUGAAAUGCGUAGAUAUUAGGAAGAACACCAGUGGCGAAGGCGGCUUUCUGGACUGAAACUGACGCUGAGGCGCGAAAGCGUGGGGAGCAAACAGGAUUAGAUACCCUAGUAGUC
rnacentral:rRNA from 1 species